rnacentral:rRNA from 1 species
AUUGAACGCUGGCGGCAUGCCUUACACAUGCAAGUCGAACGGUAACGGGCCUUCGGGUGCCGACGAGUGGCGAACGGGUGAGUAAUACAUCGGAACGUGCCCGAUCGUGGGGGGUAACGAGGCGAAAGCUUUGCUAAUACCGCAUACGAUCUACGGAUGAAAGCAGGGGACCGCAAGGCCUUGCGCGGACGGAGCGGCCGAUGGCAGAUUAGGUAGUUGGUGGGUUAAAAGCUUACCAAGCCGACGAUCUGUAGCUGGUCUGAGAGGAUGAUCAGCCACACUGGGACUGAGACACGGCCCAGACUCCUACGGGAGGCAGCAGUGGGGAAUUUUGGACAAUGGGCGCAAGCCUGAUCCAGCCAUGCCGCGUGCAGGAUGAAGGCCUUCGGGUUGUAAACUGCUUUUGUACGGAACGAAAAGCCUUCUUUUAAUACAGGAGGGUCAUGACGGUACCGUAAGAAUAAGCACCGGCUAACUACGUG